rnacentral:misc_RNA from 1 species
AGGCCCACAGAGCGGUGCGAGGGUCCGCUGAGGAGAAUCAUAUCUCUUUAGCUCUCCGACAGAAAAACAUUAUACCCCACCUCGCGCACUGUUAUUGUUAUAGUUCUCUAAAAUAUUUUCCUUUAUUCUCGCAUAAAGCUUCGCUUUCACAUAUCUCUGUGAUGCCCGCUAGUCUAUAUCAAUCAAAUCUAAACAUGGAACGAAUACAAAGCUCGGAUUUAGAGGAUAACCGUGCAGUGAAGUUGGCCUACGAGCUAGCCAUGUUGGGGUUGGAUAACUCCUCAGCCCUCUCCAUGGAGUCCUUGAGUCUGAACAGCCAUACGCUUGCACAGUUAGAGGAGCUUAAGACGAGAAAAUCUCAGAAUAUGACUGAAUGUGUACCGGUUCCAACCUCAGAGCAUGUUGCAGAAAUAGUCGGCAGACAGGGAUGCAAGAUCAAGGCAUUGAGAGCUAAGACGAACACGUACAUCAAGACCCCUGUGAGGGGGGAUGAACCUGUGUUUGUGGUGACUGGACGCAAGGAGGACGUUAACCUAGCAAAGAGAGAGAUUCUCUCCGCUGCAGAACAUUUCUCCCAAAUCAGAGCUUCAAGGAAGAAUAAUAUCAAUUCCACUCUUGCGUUCGGUCAGAUGGUCGCUAAUACUCCUGGUCAAACCACAAUUCAAGUCAGGGUCCCAUACAGAGUUGUUGGGCUGGUGGUAGGACCCAAGGGGGCCACCAUCAAGCGUAUCCAGCAGCAGACCCACACCUACAUAGUCACUCCAUCAAGAGAUAAGGAGCCGGUAUUUGAGGUUACAGGAUUACCAGAGAACGUAGACUCCGCCAGAAAGGAGAUAGAGUCCCACAUUGCGCUUCGUACUGGCUCCGGGUUGUUUGACAACAUGGACGGUAUCGACGACAACAUCACUGCCAACUUCAGCUCAGCAUUUAGUAGCUCAGGGAGCUCAGGACUCAGUUCUAUUCUCUCGGAUUCGGCCAGUUCUAGCUCAAGCAACGCGAACCUGCUCAGUAAAUACAGUUCUAAUAGUAUUCUCUCCAGUUCCCAAUCCCAUAACAUGGGUAACCUAGGCUCUAACAUGAACAACAUUGAGGAUCUUCACUUUCACAGUCUUAUCGAGAGCAAUAACUUUGACUCCAAGUUCAACAACAUGAAGAACAGAGAUAUCUCCAGUAUUGGAAGUGCGCUGUGGGGUUGCGGAGACUCUCAUGACUCCGGGAUUGGACAUUCUCCACCUUACGAUUCUUCUCAUUCCCUGACAGGGUUGAGCAGUGGUGCCAUCUGGAACGAGCUUGGUAAGGUUCUUGGGAACCUUGAUUCUCCAACCGAAUCCUCUCCAGGGAUGAACGCCAUAUCCAAACCAUCUCCCUCUACUCCUCGCUCUGCCAGCAUUGAUCUCGGUAUUCCUCUCUCUAGUGGAAACCUCUCCCUUGGCAUUUCCGAUACAAUCCUCAACAGCGACGGGAACUGCUCCCUCCCGUUCUCCCUGAACGGACUGAGCACGCUCGCGACGCUCUCGGCCUCUUUGAGCACGCUGAACGAGAACGGUGCGCUGGACGCGUCUGACCUGCUCUCCAGUCUGCGCAGGAACGGUUCUCCAGAUCAGGAUUUGCACAUGAGCAAACUACAUCAGGCAUUUUCUACCGUAACUGACUCCAAGCCAAUGGGCAUACACAGAGAUUUUUUAUCUUAUCCUAAUCACUGAGGAACUUACACAAAGUAUCAACUGACUUGGCAUAUAUUGAAACCAUAUAUAUUUUUUCAAUUUAUAUAUUUAUAUUUGUUUCAUUGUUGUGUGUCCUUUUCAUAGAAGUAUAUAGAGGGUCUAGAUGCCUGAAACAUAUUGGGAUAUAUAUAUAUUUAGCAUGUGGAAAAUAUUGUGAAUUAGAUAUAUUGAUGUAUGUGUUAUAUUUCUUAUUUUUUAUAAAUUCCUACCAGAGUCUAUUAGAAUAACAAGAUUUUUAUUGCGUGAAUGUCUAUUGAAUGCUUUUAUGUAGCUCAAAUACUACCCUUUACCCAGACCCCUGAAAACAAUAUUUUACAUCAUGUUAAGCACCUUAUACUUUUCUACUUCUUAUUGUUUGAAUAAAGUUAUAGUAUUAUUUCGUUAAAGAAUAAAUUAUCUGUACAAAU